AUGUGGGCUCUCCCAAAAUAUUUACUCCAUGGUGAUGUGGGUUGAUACAAUGUUUGUAUGGAUAUAGAGUGAGGUGAAUAAUAGAAGCAUUGUGACACUAGGCUACUACAUAAGGGUUAUUUGAAUAUGAACACUUCUAUAUGACAACAGCCUGAUAGCCCACUUGACUACUAAUAGAAAAAUAGCAUAUACUGUGUAGAUACUCUGGACAAAGAGAUGCUUCACAUCCUGGGCAAGUGGAAUGAAACAGUUAAACAUCAAAGGAAGAUUCCCUGGUCCUCUGCUGAGUACCUGCUUUGUAUGUACCUCAAGUUGGAAAAAAGACAAGUUAUAUAUUAUCAAAAAGAUAAGU
rnacentral:lncRNA from 1 species